UACGUAGGGUCCGAGCGUUGUCCGGAAUUAUUGGGCGUAAAGGGCUCGUAGGCGGUGUGUCGCGUCGGCCGUGAAAACCUGCAGCUUAACUGUGGGCUUGCGGUCGAUACGGGCAUCACUGGAGUUCGGCAGGGGAGACUGGAAUUCCUGGUGUAGCGGUGAAAUGCGCAGAUAUCAGGAGGAACACCGGUGGCGAAGGCGGGUCUCUGGGCCGAUACUGACGCUGAGGAGCGAAAGCGUGGGGAGCGAACAGG
rnacentral:rRNA from 1 species